rnacentral:rRNA from 1 species
GGGAUAACAGCUGGAAACGGCUGCUAAUACCGCAUAAGCGCACGAGGAGACAUCUCCUAGUGUGAAAAACUCCGGUGGUACAGGAUGGGCCCGCGUCUGAUUAGCUGGUUGGCAGGGUAACGGCCUACCAAGGCAACGAUCAGUAGCCGGUCUGAGAGGAUGAACGGCCACAUUGGAACUGAGACACGGUCCAAACUCCUACGGGAGGCAGCAGUGGGGAAUAUUGCACAAUGGGGGAAACCCUGAUGCAGCAACGCCGCGUGAGUGAAGAAGUAUUUCGGUAUGUAAAGCUCUAUCAGCAGGGAAGAUAAUGACGGUACCUGAUUAAGAAGCUCCGGCUAAAUACGUGCCAGCAGCCGCGGUAAUACGUAUGGAGCAAGCGUUAUCCGGAUUUACUGGGUGUAAAGGGUGCGUAGGUGGCAGUGCAAGUCAGAUGUGAAAGGCCGGGGCUCAACCCCGGAGCUGCAUUUGAAACUGCUCGGCUAGAGUACAGGAGAGGCAGGCGGAAUUCCUAGUGUAGCGGUGAAAUGCGUAGAUAUUAGGAGGAACACCAGUGGCGAAGGCGGCCUGCUGGACUGUUACUGACACUGAGGCACGAAAGCGUGGGGAGCAAACAGGAUUAGAUACCCUGGUAGUCCACGCCGUAA